rnacentral:rRNA from 1 species
UGGGGAAUAUUGGGCAAUGGGCGCAAGCCUGACCCAGCAACGCCGCGUGAAGGAAGACGGUCUUCGGAUUGUAAACUUCUUUUGUCAGGGACGAAUAAUGACGGUACCUGGCGAAUAAGCCACGGCUAACUACGUGCCAGCAGCCGCGGUAAUACGUAGGUGGCAAGCGUUGUCCGGAUUUACUGGGUGUAAAGGGCGAGUAGGCGGAUUUGCAAGUCAGGUGUGAAAGCCCGGGGCUUAACCCCGGGUCUGCAUUUGAAACUGCGGAUCUUGAGUAUCGGAGAGGCAGGCGGAAUUCCCGGUGUAGCGGUGGAAUGCGUAGAUAUCGGGAGGAACACCAGUGGCGAAGGCGGCCUGCUGGACGACAACUGACGCUGAGGAGCGAAAGCGUGGGGAGCAAACAGG